UGGGGAAUAUUGGACAAUGGGCGCAAGCCUGAUCCAGCCAUGCCGCGUGAGUGAUGAAGGCCCUAGGGUUGUAAAGCUCUUUCACCGGUGAAGAUAAUGACGGUAACCGGAGAAGAAGCCCCGGCUAACUUCGUGCCAGCAGCCGCGGUAAUACGAAGGGGGCUAGCGUUGUUCGAAUUUACUGGGCGUAAAGCGCACGUAGGCGGACUUUUAAGUCAGGGGUGAAAUCCCGGGGCUCAACCCCGGAACUGCCUUUGAUACUGGAAGUCUUGAGUAUGGUAGAGGUGAGUGGAAUUCCGAGUGUAGAGGUGAAAUUCGUAGAUAUUCGGAGGAACACCAGUGGCGAAGGCGGCUCACUGGACCAUUACUGACGCUGAGGUGCGAAAGCGUGGGGAGCAAACAGG
rnacentral:rRNA from 1 species